UUGGAGGGCAAGUCUGGUGCCAGCAGCCGCGGUAAUUCCAGCUCCAAUAGCGUAUAUUAAAGUUGUUGCAGUUAAAAAGCUCGUAGUUGAAUUUCGAGACCGGUUUAUUGGUCGUGCUUUUGUACGUACUGGUAUUAUUGGUUUCUCCUUUCUGACGAACUAUAAUGCCAUUAAUUUGGUGUUAUGGGGAAUCAGGACUGUUACUUUGAAAAAAUUAGAGUGUUUAAAGCAGGC
rnacentral:rRNA from 1 species